rnacentral:rRNA from 1 species
UACGGAGGGGGCCAGCGUUGUUCGGAAUUAUUGGGCGUAAAGGGCGCGUAGGCGGCCGAAUAAGUCUGAUGUGAAAUCCCCGGGCUCAACCCGGGAACUGCGUCCGAUACUGGCAGGCUUGAAUUCGGGAGAGGGAUGUGGAAUUCCAGGUGUAGCGGUGAAAUGCGUAGAUAUCUGGAGGAACACCGGUGGCGAAGGCGGCAUCCUGGACCGAUAUUGACGCUGAUGCGCGAAAGCCAGGGGAGCAAACGGG